rnacentral:rRNA from 1 species
CUAUAAUUGUCAGCUAAGUGGCGCACGGGUGAGUAAUGUAUAGAUAACCUGCCCUUAAGAAAGGAAUAACAGUUGGAAACGACUGCUAAUGCCCUAUAUGCCUUUAAUACAUAAGUAUGCAAGGGAAACGCUUUAGUGCUUAAGGAUGGGUCUGUAUGGUAUCAGCUUGUUGGUGAGGUAAUGGCUCACCAAGGCUAUGACGCCUAACUGGUUUGAGAGGAUGAUCAGUCACACUGGAACUGAGACACGGUCCAGACUCCUACGGGAGGCAGCAGUGGGGAAUAUUGCACAAUGGACGAAAGUCUGAUGCAGCAACGCCGCGUGGAGGAUGACACAUUUCGGUGCGUAAACUCCUUUUAUAUAGGAAGAUAAUGACGGUACUAUAUGAAUAAGCACCGGCUAACUCCGUGCCAGCAGCCGCGGUAAUACGGAGGGUGCAAGCGUUACUCGGAAUCACUGGGCGUAAAGAGCGUGUAGGCGGGUAUAUAAGUCAGAAGUGAAAUCCAAUAGCUCAACUAUUGAACUGCUUUUGAAACUGUAUACCUAGAAUGUGGGAGAGGUAGAUGGAAUUUCUGGUGUAGGGGUAAAAUCCGUAGAGAUCAGAAGGAAUACCGAUUGCGAAGGCGAUCUACUGGAACAUUAUUGACGCUGAGACGCGAAAGCGUGGGGAGCAAACAGGAUUAGAUACCCUGGUAGUCCACGCCCUAAACGAUGUACACUAGUUGUUGUGAGGCUCGACCUUGCAGUAAUGCAGUUAACACAUUAAGUGUACCGCCUGGGGAGUACGGUCGCAAGAUUAA